CCUACGGGUGGCAGCAGUCGAGAAUCAUUCACAAUGGGGGAAACCCUGAUGGUGCGACGCCGCGUGGGGGAAUGAAGGUCUUCGGAUUGUAAACCCCUGUCAUGUGGGAGCAAAUGAAAAAGAUAGUACCACAAGAGGAAGAGACGGCUAACUCUGUGACAGCAGCCGCGGUAAUACAGAGGUAUCAAGCGUUGUUCGGAAUCACUGGGCGUAAAGGGUGCGUAGGCUGUUUCGUAAGUCGUGUGUGAACGGCGCGGGCUAAACCCGCGAACGGGACAUGAUACUGCGAGACUAGAGUAAUGGAGGGGGAACCGGAAUUCGCGGUGUAGCAGUGAAAUGCGUAGAUAUCGAGAGGAACACUCGUGGCGAAGGCGGGUUCCUGGACAUUAACUGACGCUGAGGCACGAAGGCCAGGGGAGCGAAAGGGAUUAGAUACCCCAGUAGUC
rnacentral:rRNA from 1 species